GGGUUGUGAGGUUAAGCGACUAAGCGUACACGGUGGAUGCCCUGGCAGUCAGAGGCGAUGAAGGACGUGCUAAUCUGCGAUAAGCGUCGGUAAGGUGAUAUGAACCGUUAUAACCGGCGAUUUCCGAAUGGGGAAACCCAGUGUGAUUCGUCACACUAUCAUUAACUGAAUCCAUAGGUUAAUGAGGCGAACCGGGGGAACUGAAACAUCUAAGUACCCCGAGGAAAAGAAAUCAACCGAGAUUCCCCCAGUAGCGGCGAGCGGACGGGGAGCAGCCCAGAGCCUGAAUCAGUGUGUGUGUUAGUGGAAGCGUCUGGAAAGGCGUGCGAUACAGGGUGACAGCCCCGUACACAAAAAUGCACAUAUUGUGAGCUUGAUGAGUAGGGCGGGACACGUGGUAUCCUGUCUGAAUAUGGGGGGACCAUCCUCCAAGGCUAAAUACUCCUGACUGACCGAUAGUGAACCAGUACCGUGAGGGAAAGGCGAAAAGAACCCCGGCGAGGGGAGUGAAAAAGAACCUGAAACCGUGUACGUACAAGCAGUGGGAGCACGCUUAGGCGUGUGACUGCGUACCUUUUGUAUAAUGGGUCAGCGACUUAUAUUCUGUAGCAAGGUUAACCGAAUAGGGGAGCCGAAGGGAAACCGAGUCUUAACUGGGCGUUAAGUUGCAGGGUAUAGACCCGAAACCCGGUGAUCUAGCCAUGGGCAGGUUGAAGGUUGGGUAACACUAACUGGAGGACCGAACCGACUAAUGUUGAAAAAUUAGCGGAUGACUUGUGGCUGGGGGUGAAAGGCCAAUCAAACCGGGAGAUAGCUGGUUCUCCCCGAAAGCUAUUUAGGUAGCGCCUCGUGAAUUCAUCUCCGGGGGUAGAGCACUGUUUCGGCAAGGGGGUCAUCCCGACUUACCAACCCGAUGCAAACUGCGAAUACCGAAGAAUGUUAUCACGGGAGACACACGGCGGGUGCUAACGUCCGUCGUGAAGAGGGAAACAACCCAGACCGCCAGCUAAGGUCCCAAAGUCAUGGUUAAGUGGGAAACGAUGUGGGAAGGCCCAGACAGCCAGGAUGUUGGCUUAGAAGCAGCCAUCAUUUAAAGAAAGCGUAAUAGCUCACUGGUCGAGUCGGCCUGCGCGGAAGAUGUAACGGGGCUAAACCAUGCACCGAAGCUGCGGCAGCGACGCUUAUGCGUUGUUGGGUAGGGGAGCGUUCUGUAAGCCUGCGAAGGUGUGCUGUGAGGCAUGCUGGAGGUAUCAGAAGUGCGAAUGCUGACAUAAGUAACGAUAAAGCGGGUGAAAAGCCCGCUCGCCGGAAGACCAAGGGUUCCUGUCCAACGUUAAUCGGGGCAGGGUGAGUCGACCCCUAAGGCGAGGCCGAAAGGCGUAGUCGAUGGGAAACAGGUUAAUAUUCCUGUACUUGGUGUUACUGCGAAGGGGGGACGGAGAAGGCUAUGUUGGCCGGGCGACGGUUGUCCCGGUUUAAGCGUGUAGGCUGGUUUUCCAGGCAAAUCCGGAAAAUCAAGGCUGAGGCGUGAUGACGAGGCACUACGGUGCUGAAGCAACAAAUGCCCUGCUUCCAGGAAAAGCCUCUAAGCAUCAGGUAACAUCAAAUCGUACCCCAAACCGACACAGGUGGUCAGGUAGAGAAUACCAAGGCGCUUGAGAGAACUCGGGUGAAGGAACUAGGCAAAAUGGUGCCGUAACUUCGGGAGAAGGCACGCUGAUAUGUAGGUGAAGUCCCUCGCGGAUGGAGCUGAAAUCAGUCGAAGAUACCAGCUGGCUGCAACUGUUUAUUAAAAACACAGCACUGUGCAAACACGAAAGUGGACGUAUACGGUGUGACGCCUGCCCGGUGCCGGAAGGUUAAUUGAUGGGGUCAGCGCAAGCGAAGCUCUUGAUCGAAGCCCCGGUAAACGGCGGCCGUAACUAUAACGGUCCUAAGGUAGCGAAAUUCCUUGUCGGGUAAGUUCCGACCUGCACGAAUGGCGUAAUGAUGGCCAGGCUGUCUCCACCCGAGACUCAGUGAAAUUGAACUCGCUGUGAAGAUGCAGUGUACCCGCGGCAAGACGGAAAGACCCCGUGAACCUUUACUAUAGCUUGACACUGAACAUUGAGCCUUGAUGUGUAGGAUAGGUGGGAGGCUUUGAAGUGUGGACGCCAGUCUGCAUGGAGUCGACCUUGAAAUACCACCCUUUAAUGUUUGAUGUUCUAACGUGGACCCGUGAUCCGGGUUGCGGACAGUGUCUGGUGGGUAGUUUGACUGGGGCGGUCUCCUCCUAAAGAGUAACGGAGGAGCACGAAGGUUGGCUAAUCCUGGUCGGACAUCAGGAGGUUAGUGCAAUGGCAUAAGCCAGCUUGACUGCGAGCGUGACGGCGCGAGCAGGUGCGAAAGCAGGUCAUAGUGAUCCGGUGGUUCUGAAUGGAAGGGCCAUCGCUCAACGGAUAAAAGGUACUCCGGGGAUAACAGGCUGAUACCGCCCAAGAGUUCAUAUCGACGGCGGUGUUUGGCACCUCGAUGUCGGCUCAUCACAUCCUGGGGCUGAAGUAGGUCCCAAGGGUAUGGCUGUUCGCCAUUUAAAGUGGUACGCGAGCUGGGUUUAGAACGUCGUGAGACAGUUCGGUCCCUAUCUGCCGUGGGCGCUGGAGAACUGAGGGGGGCUGCUCCUAGUACGAGAGGACCGGAGUGGACGCAUCACUGGUGUUCGGGUUGUCAUGCCAAUGGCACUGCCCGGUAGCUAAAUGCGGAAGAGAUAAGUGCUGAAAGCAUCUAAGCACGAAACUUGCCCCGAGAUGAGUUCUCCCUGACCCUUUAAGGGUCCUGAAGGAACGUUGAAGACGACGACGUUGAUAGGCCGGGUGUGUAAGCGCAGCGAUGCGUUGAGCUAACCGGUACUAAUGAACCGUGAGGCUUAACCUUACAACGCCGAAG
rnacentral:rRNA from 1 species